ACGACGGAUGCGCCGUCAGGUGCGGGCGCGCUAGCCUUCGUUGGGAAAAUUAAAGCAUCGGUGGUCAGUCCGGGUAGGUGUUCGGUUGUUCUUGGUGCGUCGUCUGGUGCGGUGCCAGUGCCAGUGCAGUGUGUGUUUUUAACGUGGAUGUGAAGCCUUCGUUCGAGGAGCAGUGCGACGUACGAUUUUUGCAUUCCCUAGCCGGUGUUCAGUCGGAGUGGUAGUCGUUCAAUCGAACAGGUGGAAAAGCACCAAUCUAAAACCGCCCAACCCUCCCAUCGGUGUAGGAUCGGUUACCCAGGGGGAAUUUGUGAUAAGCAACAGUUUCGUUUUCAUAAAGCGUGCAACCUGGUGCAGCAGGUGCAGGAAGUGUGCAGUGUGAACCGAGGAAAAAAAGAGAAAUAAAGUGAAAUUAGAUCCAAAAGAUUCCGACCUUAUUCGGUGAGGAUUUCAAACCCUCCACCCUACGCAACACUGCCGUACUAUCCCAGGGAAAGGAGAAAAAAAAAGCCCGACAUCGCAAAAGCGACAUCCUUCAAUAAUCCUUGCGGUGUAAAGGAGCGUUUCGACAAAAAAAAAAAAGGACGAAUCAACCCGGAGCUCGGACGGGAAAAGCGGAAAUAUUUCCCAUCUCCUCCCUUCCCGAGAAAGCGAGAAGGCGUUCAUGCACACACACACGGAGCCGGUGGAAAUUCAACCGUGAAAGGUAGGUAGUGAGAGGGGAAGACCAAAAAGCUCUCGACAAGUGGCGCUUCCAAAACAAAAAAAAAC